AUUGAACGCUGGCGGCAGGCUUAACACAUGCAAGUCGAGCGAGCGGCGGACGGGUGAGUAAUGUCUGGGAAACUGCCUGAUGGAGGGGGAUAACUACUGGAAACGGUAGCUAAUACCGCAUACCAUCGGAUGUGCCCAGAGGGGAUUAGCUAGUAGGUGGGGUAAAGGCUCACCUAGGCGACGAGCCCUAGCUGGUCUGAGAGGAUGACCGGCCACACUGGAACGGGGACACGGCCCAGACUCCUACGGGAGGCAGCAGUGGGGAAUAUUGGACAAUGGGCGAAAGCCUGAUGCAGCCAUGCCGCGUGUGUGAAGAAGGCCUUCGGAUUGUAAAGUACUGUCGGCGGGGAGGCGUUACCCACAGAAGAAGCACCGGCUAACUCCGUGCCAGCAGCCGCGGUAAUAC
rnacentral:rRNA from 1 species